rnacentral:rRNA from 1 species
AGGAUGAACGCUGGCGGCGUGCCUAAUACAUGCAAGUCGAGCGAACAGAUAAGGAGCUUGCUCCUUUGACGUUAGCGGCGGACGGGUGAGUAACACGUGGGUAACCUACCUAUAAGACUGGGAUAACUUCGGGAAACCGGAGCUAAUACCGGAUAACAUUUGGAACCGCAUGGUUCUAAAGUGAAAGAUGGUUUUGCUAUCACUUAUAGAUGGACCCGCGCCGUAUUAGCUAGUUGGUAAGGUAACGGCUUACCAAGGCAACGAUACGUAGCCGACCUGAGAGGGUGAUCGGCCACACUGGAACUGAGACACGGUCCAGACUCCUACGGGAGGCAGCAGUAGGGAAUCUUCCGCAAUGGGCGAAAGCCUGACGGAGCAACGCCGCGUGAGUGAUGAAGGGUUUCGGCUCGUAAAACUCUGUUAUUAGGGAAGAACAAAUGUGUAAGUAACUGUGCACAUCUUGACGGUACCUAAUCAGAAAGCCACGGCUAACUACGUGCCAGCAGCCGCGGUAAUACGUAGGUGGCAAGCGUUAUCCGGAAUUAUUGGGCGUAAAGCGCGCGUAGGCGGUUUCUUAAGUCUGAUGUGAAAGCCCACGGCUCAACCGUGGAGGGUCAUUGGAAACUGGGAAACUUGAGUGCAGAAGAGGAAAGUGGAAUUCCAUGUGUAGCGGUGAAAUGCGCAGAGAUAUGGAGGAACACCAGUGGCGAAGGCGACUUUCUGGUCUGUAACUGACGCUGAUGUGCGAAAGCGUGGGGAUCAAACAGGAUUAGAUACCCUGGUAGUCCACGCCGUAAACGAUGAGUGCUAAGUGUUAGGGGGUUUCCGCCCCUUAGUGCUGCAGCUAACGCAUUAAGCACUCCGCCUGGGGAGUACGACCGCAAGGUUGAAACUCAAAGGAAUUGACGGGGACCCGCACAAGCGGUGGAGCAUGUGGUUUAAUUCGAAGCAACGCGAAGAACCUUACCAAAUCUUGACAUCCUUUGAAAACUCUAGAGAUAGAGCCUUCCCCUUCGGGGGACAAAGUGACAGGUGGUGCAUGGUUGUCGUCAGCUCGUGUCGUGAGAUGUUGGGUUAAGUCCCGCAACGAGCGCAACCCUUAAGCUUAGUUGCCAUCAUUAAGUUGGGCACUCUAGGUUGACUGCCGGUGACAAACCGGAGGAAGGUGGGGAUGACGUCAAAUCAUCAUGCCCCUUAUGAUUUGGGCUACACACGUGCUACAAUGGACAAUACAAAGGGCAGCUAAACCGCGAGGUCAUGCAAAUCCCAUAAAGUUGUUCUCAGUUCGGAUUGUAGUCUGCAACUCGACUACAUGAAGCUGGAAUCGCUAGUAAUCGUAGAUCAGCAUGCUACGGUGAAUACGUUCCCGGGUCUUGUACACACCGCCCGUCACACCACGAGAGUUUGUAACACCCGAAGCCGGUGGAGUAACCAUUUA